UUCUGGGAGAACCUGGGUUCAAAUACAACUUCUGAUACCUCCUAUGCCGAAGCAAAUCACCUAAUGUUUCAACCUCAAAGAGGUUGUCUCGAUGGCUUCUGAUGUCCUUCCCCACUCUACAGCUAUGAUUCACUUCUUUCAUAUCAGUAUUCUAUGAUUCUUUACCUAGAAGCCAUCUAGGAGAAGAUCCAGGCUGAGCUAGGGGAUAUGAAGAAACUGAGAUGAGCACUCUUUCCACCACAGCUCACAGCCUCUUAAUUCUGAGAUAAGGGGAUUCUUCCCAUAAUGUUUUCCAAACAGGACUACUCACUGGCUUUUGUUAUAUCUACAGGAAUCCUUGGACCUCAGAAUAAGCAUUCCUGAUUUAGUUUCACCUCCUUUAUUCUUUAAGAUGAGGACACUGAGAUUCCUUCCAGAUCUGAAAUGGAAACUUCAAGGAUUACAGCAUUUUUUGUUUAAAUUUAAUUUUUCCCCAAAUACUCUUCUUCCCUCCACUCCACAACUAAUUGAGAAUUAUGAUUGCAAUCAUUUUGUAGUUAUAUUACAAAAUGCAAGAAAUAAAA